rnacentral:misc_RNA from 1 species
GAGUGAUCUAGCAUUCUAGCUUUGCUCGCCUGAGUUCUUUGCUUGUCCUCACUAGCGGUGUUUGACAGUUUGAGUUGUUAGCAAUGGCGGCCGCUACCAUGGCGCUGAGCAGCUCCUUCGCCGUCGCCGCCGCUGCUGCUGGUGGCGCGCCAUGGCGUGGUGUCGUCUCCGCUGGCCGCGCCGCGCCUCGCCGGCGUGUCGCGCUCGUCGUCAGGGCCCAGUCCGAGCCGGAGGUGGAGCCGACGAAGGAGGAGACGGCUACGUCGUCGUCACCGACUCCGAGCCCCGCGGCGGCGGCGCCCAGGGCGAAGCCGGCGGCGAGCACGGGGCUGUGGGACGUGCUGGCGUUCAGCGGGCCGGCGCCGGAGCGGAUCAACGGGCGGCUGGCGAUGGUGGGGUUCGUGUCGGCGCUCGCCGUGGAGGCGUCGCGGGGCGGCGGGCUCCUGGAGCAGGCCGGCAGCGGGGACGGGCUCGCGUGGUUCGCCGCCACCGCCACCGUGCUCUCCGCGGCGUCGCUGGUGCCGCUGCUCCGCGGCGAGAGCGCGGAGGCGAGGAGCGGCGGCGUGAUGAGCGCCGACGCCGAGCUCUGGAACGGGCGGUUCGCCAUGCUCGGCCUCGUCGCGCUCGCCUUCACCGAGUUCCUCACCGGCUC